UAACACUAACUGGAGGACCGAACCGACUAAUGUUGAAAAAUUAGCGGAUGACUUGUGGCUGGGGGUGAAAGGCCAAUCAAACCGGGAGAUAGCUGGUUCUCCCCGAAAGCUAUUUAGGUAGCGCCUCGUGAAUUCAUCUCCGGGGGUAGAGCACUGUUUCGGCAAGGGGGUCAUCCCGACUUACCAACCCGAUGCAAACUGCGAAUACCGGAGAAUGUUAUCACGGGAGACACACGGCGGGUGCUAACGUCCGUCGUGAAGAGGGAAACAACCCAGACCGCCAGCUAAGGUCCCAAAGUCAUGGUUAAGUGGGAAACGAUGUGGGAAGGCCCAGACAGCCAGGAUGUUGGCUUAGAAGCAGCCAUCAUUUAAAGAAAGCGUAAUAGCUCACUGGUCGAGUCGGCCUGCGCGGAAGAUGUAACGGGGCUAAACCAUGCACCGAAGCUGCGGCAGCGACGCUUAUGCGUUGUUGGGUAGGGGAGCGUUCUGUAAGCCUGCGAAGGUGUGCUGUGAGGCAUGCUGGAGGUAUCAGAAGUGCGAAUGCUGACAUAAGUAACGAUAAAGCGGGUGAAAAGCCCGCUCGCCGGAAGACCAAGGGUUCCUGUCCAACGUUAAUCGGGGCAGGGUGAGUCGACCCCUAAGGCGAGGCCGAAAGGCGUAGUCGAUGGGAAACAGGUUAAUAUUCCUGUACUUGGUGUUACUGCGAAGGGGGGACGGAGAAGGCUAUGUUGGCCGGGCGACGGUUGUCCCGGUUUAAGCGUGUAGGCUGGUUUUCCAGGCAAAUCCGGAAAAUCAAGGCUGAGGCGUGAUGACGAGGCACUACGGUGCUGAAGCAACAAAUGCCCUGCUUCCAGGAAAAGCCUCUAAGCAUCAGGUAACAUCAAAUCGUACCCCAAACCGACACAGGUGGUCAGGUAGAGAAUACCAAGGCGCUUGAGAGAACUCGGGUGAAGGAACUAGGCAAAAUGGUGCCGUAACUUCGGGAGAAGGCACGCUGAUAUGUAGGUGAAGUCCCUCGCGGAUGGAGCUGAAAUCAGUCGAAGAUACCAGCUGGCUGCAACUGUUUAUUAAAAACACAGCACUGUGCAAACACGAAAGUGGACGUAUACGGUGUGACGCCUGCCCGGUGC
rnacentral:rRNA from 1 species